rnacentral:rRNA from 1 species
UAAGAAGGGUGAGAGCGUUUAUCGGAAUUACUGGGCGUAAAGCGUGCGCAGGCGGUCUAUUAAGCCAGAUGUGAAAUCCCCGGGCUUAACCUGGGAACUGGGUUUGGAACUGGAAGGCUAGAGUACGGCAGAGGGGUGUGGAAUUCCACGUGUAGCAGUGAAAGGCGUAGAGAUGUGGAGGAACACCGAUUGCGAAGGCAGCCCCCUGGGCCUGUACUGACGCUCAUGCACGAAAGCGUUGGGAGCUAACAGG